rnacentral:misc_RNA from 1 species
AUGCGCGUUCCCAUCUCUUGCUCAGCCACCACUGAACCCCCCUCCCCCAUUUCCUUUACAGCACUACCCGCCUGCCAACAGUCCACGACUGCCCGCUCCCGCUUGCCCUCAACGGCAGCUCUUCCGUGUUGCAAUGCCACAUCAGUCAUCUGAUCAAUGCUCUGUCGAGACCAAGCUGGGCCGUGUCGGCCGCAACCCGGAUGAGCAAUGGGGCUUCAUCAACUGCCCCAUCUACCGCGGUUCCACCGUCCUCUAUAAGAGCGUCGAUGACGCACUGAAGCGCCGCUCCCCGUACUGGUACGGCACCGCUGGCAACCCCACCGUGACGAACCUGCAGAACGCCUGGACUGCGCUCACCGGCGGUGCUGGCAGUAUUGUCGUGUCGUCGGGCAUGCAGGCGAUAGCGUACGCGCUGCUGGCGGCCGCGAACAGCGGUGACAAUAUUCUUGUGGCGGACGCAGUCUAUCUGCCCACCCGUAACCUGUGCGACAACUUCUUGGUGACCAAGGGCAUCACCACGACCUACUACGAUCCCUGCAUCACGGCAGACGAGCUGCGUGAGCUGCUCCACCAGAAGCCCAACACCACCGUAAUCUUCAUGGAGUCACCGGGGUCGCAGACCUUCGAAAUCCAGGAUGUGCCGAUGAUCUGCGCUGUGGCACGCGAAUUCAACGUUACGACGAUCAUCGACAACACUUGGGCCACUCCCAUCUUUUUUGACGCUCUCGGCAUAGGGUGCGACAUCUCGGUGGAGGCUGGCACCAAGUACGUCGGCGGCCACUCAGACCUGCUGCUGGGUCUCAUCUCAGCCAACGAGAAGUGGUACCCAAAGCUGCGGGGGUUCAUGAACCUCUUGCAGUCGGUGCCCGGCAACGAGGACUGCUACCUGGGGCUGCGGGGGCUUCGCACCAUGUACAUUCGCCUCAAGGAGGCGGAGAAGCGCGGGCUCGAGAUGGCGCGCUUCAUGGAGAGCCGCGAGGAGGUACUCAAGGUGCUGCACCCGGCGUUCCCCAGCUGUCGUGGCCACGAGAUCUGGAGGCGCGACUUCACCGGCUCCUCCGGCCUCUUCUCGAUCGUGCUGCGCCCCAAGUACGCGCUGCAGGACGUGGAGCGGAUGAUCGGCAGCUACAAGCUCUUCAGUAUAGGCUUUUCAUGGGGCGGCUUCGAGAGUCUUGUAAUGUGCUUCGACUGCACCACGUACCGCACGGCAACCACCUUCGCCCCUGGUGGCAUCCUCCUCCGUUUCCAGAUCGGCCUCGAGAGCUUGGAGGAUCUCAAGCAGGACCUCUGCCAGGGUUUCGACAAGCUGCGCGGAGAGUCGAUGGGCUGCUAAGCGGGUAGAUCCUCUCCGGGGACUGGCUCGCCUCUGUCCCCCGCCGCCUUUCCACUACUGUGGAUGUGACACCGCUUAUCUCGACAUGCGCACGAACGUAGCAAGUCAUUGCUGACGUUUCCUCUUUGCUUUUCUUUGUGUUUGCUGUCUCCGCCUUUUGUGCCGCGGUGGUGUGGCACACGCCGUGUCUCCCGCCCACCCCGCCCACCCCCUCUCGCACACCCUCGCCGCAACAGAUAGCCACGCACGCGCACAUGUCGGCGACACGAUAUGGAUGCGAAGGUGUACGGCCUGUGCCAGUGGGGUCUGUCCAUGUGUGUCCGUGUCUUUGCAAUGCAUGAAGCAAAAAGCGACGGCGAGGAGAGAGGAACGGCAGGCGGGAGGCGGGGCGUGUGUGAGGGACGAGUGAUGCGCGCACACCGGCACGCGGGCAUCAGACGAUGCGCCCACCUCUUCCUCGCGCUCUCCCCUCUCUUUGCCCGUCUCAAAACGGAGCGAGCGGCGGCGCCGGGAGCCGGGGAGAAAAACCGCAGAGGUGGGCGCACAACGAACUGGAUAUGGUCGACACACGCGUUAUAGACGUAGGGUAGUUUUACUCGCGAACGACGCGCAAGCAGAGAUGACGGGGAGAGAGAGAGGACCCCAUCUUAUAGAUGUUGCUGAUUCACUGGACUGGUGUACGUCAGCGAACGGCAUCUCCGCCACACCACCCACAUGCCAUCGCCGCUGCCUCCACUCUUCUCCCUUCAUGAGUGAAGCGAGCGGACUCCGUAUUUGUAGUUGUCGUGCGCUGUUUAUUAGUAUUAUAUAUAUUAUAUCUAUCACGUCUUAUUUUUUGUUUUUGGUUCGUGCACAGCUUCCGUCCUUUUUUUUAAAGCAUGUUGUUGCCCAUGGGAUGAUGUGACGUUCGUGCGGACGUGUACGACGCCCCCUCCCCCCUCUUCUGCCCCCCUCUCCGUACCCCCGCUCUCCCUAACCUACGCCUUUGCCCACUUUUUUUUGUCCUUCACACGUGAGUGCGAAAACAAAAAAGCGACACACACACACACACACAAAACGAAACUAAAAACGACAAAAAAGGGACCGCCCACACUCGACAAGAUGACGGUGCACGUCAACUGUGAUGCGCGCCUUCGCCAGUGCCGCUGUUUAGUAUGAAGGUAUACAUAUAUACGGAGACAUACAUAUAUGUAUGUGUGUGCAUCAAAAACAGCAAAGACAUGGCGCGCUUUUUCUUGUUUUCUCUUCUUUUUUUUUUCAUUGCCCGCACGUUUUCUUACCGGUGAGUUGUGCUGCAGCACAUGGCGGUCCGACCCCUCUCCUCAUCCCCACAUGCACGCGCACCUGAAGUGCACAUGCGUCUUCUUGCCCUCCUUCCCUCUCUCUCUUCUCUGUUGUCGAUCGGGAUGCGGGUAUCUUGACCGAUGUGCUUUGGCCUCUGCAUCGCUCGCCUCACGCAACCCAACCUGCCUUUUGCCGUAUGCGCUUGCUUUUGCUCGCCAACUUGCUCGCCUGUCGCCUUCAUUCUCCUUUCACGAGCUCCUUGUACAGCUUCGUGCGCUACGCCACGCACAGUGCGAGCGGUGUACGCGCCUGUGCGCGAAUCCCGGGAGAGAAGGCGACGCGAAGGGCAGUUUCAUAGCGCCAUGGGGUCCGGUGUGAGAGAGCAUCCGCAGAGCUGUAAAACGAAUCGUCCAGGAGGCCAAUAUGACGGCGGGAGGGGAGGGGAGAGAGAGAGAGGACGCCGACGUUUGCUUCUUUUUUUUUUCACUUUGAACUCACAUUGCAUGCGAUCGCCUCGAUUAGUGAGUGCGCCCCCCCUGCGCCGCAGCGCUUGUCUUCGUUUCUCUUGCCGUUUCUCUGUGUGCUGUGUGCGUAUUGCUUCUGUCCCUCUUCCUUUCUCCGACUUCCCUUUCGCAUCGUGCCCCUUUUAUGCCGCGCCGCCACUUCCCGCCUCCCAGUCUACCUGCCCAUCUCGCUGCCUGCGCCUCUGCCUGGAGACAGAGAGACGGGCAGGUGUACGGAGAGGCGAGAGACACUGCCCUACACCUCCACUCCGCGUGCCUUUGCUCACCUCCCUUUCUCUGUCCUCACCCCACUCCUUCGUGUAACGUUGCGUUUCUGUGUCUGCGUGCUAAGACACCCUCGCUCUGGGCGUCUCUCUCCGUCUUUCUUUUCGUUUUUAUUUUUCUGCUCUUCCCUUUGCCACAUUCUGGCAGCCGAUACCACACACACACCUACACAGGCACUUCGUAACAGUCACGGAGGACAUGUGCACGUGGCCCCGCUCCCCACCCCCAGCAUGCUAUCCCAUCCUUACUUUUUUUUUCCCUCCUCCUUCUCUUCCGUUCUUAUGAGCUGACAUCCCCCCUCUUCUUUGAGAGGCACGAAGGGCGGGAGUUAAUCAGGACAUGAACACGCACUCUUUCUUUUCUUCGUACAAUCGAUGACAGCAACGGCUGUGGUGGAGGGAGUGGAUGGAGGGCAGCGGUGGCCGGCGCAUUGGGGAUGGGCAGAAACACCGUCGUGUGUGUGUGUGUGUGUGCACGAGUAGCGCCUUUGAAAGCCAACUCUCUUUUCUUUCUUUCUUUUCCCCUUCCCCCCGAUCAUGCCUGCCACCUCAGCGCGCGGUAUCCAGGGUUCCGAAUGGACACUCUGUGUGGGAGCCAAGAGCCUGCACAGCUUGCACUCGGGUACGGUUGCGGACUCUUGGUGCCGGCAGAGAGGUCUGGGCUAGUGCUGCGCCGAAGAGACAUCCGGCCACGCUGAUAACGUGUGUGCCAUCUCACCACGAAUCGCGCCGACGACUCCACAAGCACACGCGCCCACCGACUGUCUCUCUGGCUUUUGCUGCGUCGCGGGGACUUGGAGCGCGAUCUAGGGCCUACCCUGUACUGUGUGCAGUGGCGUUGCAUGGGGCUUGAGCGGUACCCAGCGGUGUUAGUUGGCCUGGCUCCUCGUCGAGUCUUCGAUCCAAGUCUGUAUUCGGUAAGAGAGGCGCAUUUUACUCCACAGGUCUGAAGGGCACAUUCUUCUCCCGUCUUUUCAGCAUCGCGGUGCGGCAAGGGAAAGGAAACACGGUGGUGGCGUUUCUGCGCCUGUGCGAGAGAACAUACGUAAAGGCGCCGGCCCCAACGUGCUCAAAGACGAAACUGGAGCAGAGAGGCCCUGACUUUGCUUCGAUGGCCCUACUAGACGGAUACACCUCACGCCCUGCUACAAACCUGAGAGUGACGUGGCGGCACGGGAAGUUUUCGAUCACACCAGUUGCGCGCGAGCACCUGCCCGCGUUUUCGGUGUCUGCAGAGGCGAGUGGCUGACAGAGGCUGCAUGGUGUGCAGAUGGUUUGCUGCCUGGCGCUCUGCUGACAGUGGGGUACCACUGCCCCCUAUGCCCCCUUCUGAAGGACAAGCUGUGAAUUCUCUGCGCGCAGCCGCACGUGCCUGUCCGAGAGCCCCUUCCGCUUGGCACACCCACUCCUGCCAGAGGCGUGCGGGCUCAGGAGAGGGCGGAGUGCUCCCUGCUACCACAGAUGUGUAGCAGCGUUCCAUCUGUCGCGGUGCAUGUGGGCACGCCAUCCAGACCCCCUUCCCCCUUCCUAUGAAAUAGACCGAAAUGGACGAUGAAGACACCGAGCCCUCUUCCACAGACAGCAGCGUCGCCUUGAGGCGGGGCCACGAUGCAGAAAUGCGAGUGCUGUGCGCACGGACUGUCAAGCAUAGCUGGCAUGGCGUGCCACGUUCAAGCAGCGCAUCGAGAGGUCAGCAGCGCAAGAGCGAUGGGCGGAAAAGGCGGGAAGGGAUCCGUACGAGUCAAGCCCAAGGCGCGUGUGUGCAAAGAGCAUGCGGUACCCCCUCCAUCUGAGCGGGUGGGCUGCUGAGGCAUGGGUGCGGGGAGGCACGACGGGGGCACCUCGAGUUGCACCCACCGGGUCUUCCAGACCCUCCAUGCGGAGGGUGUUCACCCUAUAUUAUGGGACGCGGCGGCUUGAAGCGAGCCGGGGAGAAGCGCGGCACACAGCCAGACGGCGCAGGGUCUUCGAGGGCCCUGGCCCGAAGCUCGCCAACUCCCUCCUUGAGCUCGCGCUGCAUGCACGUGGACCACCCUCUGUUGCCCGCACGCUAGAUGCCAGGGCUUUUGUCCUCGAGCAGAAGCCUGUGCGCAGCCCGCGUGGAUUAGGGCAUGCGGCCCACCCAAGCCCCCCUCGGGCGCCGCUCACGCAGCGCGCAUGCGACGUACGGACAAGGACGGGGAAGAACGAGAAGAGCGCGCUGGACGUACGUCCAUGGCUCGGCGGCAUGACGAGCCGUCCUGGAAAACCAGCGUUCAACCGUGAUGUGCAGCUGAGCGAGGUGAACUGUGGUUGUAUCCGUGCCUGGGUGGCUGACAUGUUCGUGGGUGGAGCGGUUCGGUCGAGUUCACAAUAACAACAAAAACGAAUAGUUAGUUUAUGCGGCGCGUACGCGCAAGAAAAGGCACAGCACGCACACACACAACACUGCCACGCAAGGCGCGCGUCUGGUUGACAUUUUUUUUUCCAUUUGUGCCUUCUCCGAAAGUGUGUGCAUGUGUGUCUGUGUGAGCGUCUCGUAUGCAGUGCGCGUGCCUCUCUUUUUUUUUUCCUUCCCCGCCCCCUCUCUCAUGCUCCUUCUCUAGCUUUUUAUGUUACUUUCUCAUCAAUCUAUCUUAUGUACCGCCCCCCUCCCUCUCUCUCCCCCUUACUUUCUUUAGUGUUUUCUUUGGCGCGCGUGGGCGUGUCUGCCCCGCUGGUUCCUGGAUUUGUGAAAGCAUCGGUGACCUCGUAAUACGCAAAACAGAGGUAAGCCUUCUCCCUAUCCUUUCCCUUCUUCCUUCUUGGUGCGUGUGUGUGCCCUCCGCGAUCUGCUCUCCGCAGUGCUUCUACACCGUUGUUCGGCGAGAGAGAAGGAGAAAAGGGUUCUUUGUUUGAAAGGUAAUCUGCUCCACGCUGUCAUACGGGAAAGCACGCAUGAUAGGUAUCGAAUCUACACACCUGCACUUGAACGGCGUGGGAUAAGGAGCACUCGGACGCAGGGAUAACGUUUUCGCACAGGCCACCCAACAUCUCCGCUGUCCAUGCCCCCUCCCCCAUGCUCUCUCUCUCGGUGCCUCCGCUUUCGCAAAAGCGAGUUUCUGUGUGUGUGUGUGUGCGUGUGUGAAGGACGCCGCUGGGCUUUCGCUUUCGUCUGGCUGGCGCUCUUUGCCCUCCUGUUGCGCCUGACGGACGCCCCAUAUUUUCUCCUUCUCUCUCUCGUGAUGGAUAUUUUCGCCUCUUGUGGCUUUCCUAUUUCGUUUUCGUUUUUUUUUCUGUACUUGCUUCUUCCUCGCUCUGAUGCACGCGUCUUUUCCUUUCUCUUUUUGUUUCUUUUUUCUCUUUCUAUUCGCUCUUGUGGGGCUACUUCGUGACUGGGGGCGGGGGCGUCAUACUAUGCCAUUGUGUGUGUGAGUACGUGUGCUGUGCGCGUGCGUGAUGCUGUGCCACUGUCUGCUUCGGCUUUUGUUUUCUUGCGCUGCUUCUUUAAUGAUGAACCGAAAAAAAUGUGUGUGUUUUUCCCCCUUCGCACGUUUGGUGCACGUGUGCGUGUUUUGGUGUCGUGCCUCAUCGUUUUUCUUUUUCUUUCUCUGUUCUCCCCUCCUCUCCUUCGGCUUGAAACGGAAACCGCAACGAAACGGAGCGCAUAUGUCAACAACAGAAUACAUAUGUAGGUUGUGUGUGUAUGCUCGUAGGUGUUCGGCCUCAAGGGUUUCGCACGCAUGCGUAUAUAAAGAUAUAUGAACCUCCCCACUUUCCUCUCUCCUCUCUGUCCCAUGAUGUGUUUCGUUGUUUCCGUGGUUACACGGUGCGUUCACAUCCCCAUGAUGUGCUUGUGCAUGCACACGUGCGCGCGACUCCAUGACCUUCUAGGUGAAAACAGUCGACGAAUGCAGAGACCUAACAUAGAAACGAACACACGAAACAGAGCAGCAACAUCGAUUCGAGGGGGUGGGUGGGCGGGCGGCGACAACUAAAAAGAGGAGCGCUCGCCAGUGAGAAAGUGUGCUCAUGCGUGUGGCCACGCAGAGGCGCACAGGAAGACGCGGCCUUUUCGCUCGGAAGCGGCGUCUUUUCACGUGUAAGCACCUCUCGAGUUUCGAGAGACGAGUCGUGAAGACAC